rnacentral:rRNA from 2 species
GAAGACCAAGGGUUCCUGUCCAACGUUAAUCGGGGCAGGGUGAGUCGACCCCUAAGGCGAGGCCGAAAGGCGUAGUCGAUGGGAAACGGGUUAAUAUUCCCGUACUUGGUGUUACUGCGAAGGGGGGACGGAGAAGGCUAUGUUGGCCGGGCGACGGUUGUCCCGGUUUAAGCGUGUAGGUGUGUGUUCCAGGUAAAUCCGGUUCACUUUAACACUGAGGCGUGAUGACGAGGCACUACGGUGCUGAAGCAACAAAUGCCCUGCUUCCAGGAAAAGCCUCUAAGCAUCAGGUAACAUCAAAUCGUACCCCAAACCGACACAGGUGGUCAGGUAGAGAAUACCAAGGCGCUUGAGAGAACUCGGGUGAAGGAACUAGGCAAAAUGGUGCCGUAACU